rnacentral:pre_miRNA from 1 species
UUCGCGGUGCGGCUCAUUUGCGUGCUCUUUAAUACAUAUCGUGAAAUGCGCCGAACUGCGAAAG